UAAUUAUAUACUAAUUCCCUGAAGGGUGGGGAAAAUGUUGCCGUUGCACAUUACAUGGUGAGCCAUCGAGGAACAGGCCGGCAUUCCCACAUCACUGGACGCAGUGUGCAUAACCAAAGAAUCGAAAGAUUGUGGAGAGAUGUGUAUGGAAAUGUCCUCGACUUGUUCCAUACAGUCUUUCACAAUUUGGAAUUGGAAGGGUUUCUAAAUCCUGACAAUGAACUGGAGUUGUUUGCUCUCCAGUGGAUCUAUGUUCCACAGCUUCAGCAGCACCUUCAGGCAUUCAAGGAAGCCUGGAAUCACCACAGCUUGAGGACAGAGAGAGGCCAGUCCCCAUGCAACUGUGGCUUAGUCAGCCACGUGAGGGAAAUAAUGCUGAUCCACUUCAGGUUGAUGAUGGUUACGGUGUAGACUGGACAGGACCUCACAACACAUACCCAGAGGGUGUCACUGUACCUGAUGCACAACUACCCCGGCAGCUUACACAGGCUGAAGUUGCAUCAUUACCCGAUCCGGAGGUUCCUUUUUCUGCUGCACUACAGGCAUACAUGGAUACAGUGAAUAUUAUUAAGGACAUUUUUCAGCAAAUCUAAGCGUAUACCAGUUGACUGUACCAUAAUCAUAACA